rnacentral:rRNA from 1 species
GAUGAACGCUCGCUACAGGCUUAACACAUGCAAGUCGAGGGGAAACGAUAUUGGAAGCUUGCUUCCGAUAGGCGUCGACCGGCGCACGGGUGAGUAACGCGUAUCCAACCUGCCCACCACUUGGGGAUAACCUUGCGAGAGUAAGACUAAUACCCAAUGAAAUCUCUAGAAGACAUCGGAAGGAGAUUAAAGAUUUAUCGGUGCUGGAUGGGGAUGCGUGGGAUUAGCUUGUUGGGGGGGUAACGGCCCACCAAGGCGACGAACAGUAGGGGUUCUGAGAGGAAGGUCCCCCACAUUGGAACUGAGAUACGGUCCAAACUCCUACGGGAGGCAGCAGUGAGGAAUAUUGGUCAAUGGGCGAGAGCCUGAACCAGCCAAGUAGCGUGCAGGAUGACGGCCCUAUGGGUUGUAAACUGCUUUUAUAAGGGAAUAAAGUGAGCCUCGUGAGGCUUUUUGCAUGUACCUUAUGAAUAAGGACCGGCUAAUUCCGUGCCAGCAGCCGCAGUAA